CUCCAGGCCCUUGCAGUUCCCACCAGAUCCUAUCAGACCCCACCAGCCCCCACCAGAUCCCACCAGGCCCUAUCAGCUCCCAUCAGAUCCCACCAGAUCCCAUCAGCUCCCAUCAGAUCCCACCAGGCCCAGUCAGAUCCCACCAGGGAUCCCAUCAGGUGUCACCAGCCCCUAUCAACUCCCAUCAGAUCCCACCAGAUCCCAUUAGGUGCCACCAGGCUCUAUCAAUCAGCUCCCAUCAGAUCCCACCAGAUCCCACCAGGUGCCAUCAGAUCCCACUGGGUGCCACCAGGUCCCACCAGAUCCUAUCAGACCCCACCAGAUCCCACCAGAUCUCACCAGGCCCUAUCAGAACCCACCAGAUCCCACCAGGCCCUAUCAACUCCCAUUAGAUCCCACCAGGUGCCACCAGGCCCUAUCAGAUCCCAGCAGAUCCCACCAGGCCCCACCAGAUCCCACCAGGCCCCACCAGAUCCCAACAGGCCCUAUCAGAUCCCACCAGAUCCCAUCGGGUGCCAUCAGAUCCCAUCAGGUGUCACCGGAUCCCAUCAUCAGAUCCCACCAGGCCCUAUCAGAUCCCACUGGAUCCCUUC
ensembl:lncRNA